rnacentral:lncRNA from 1 species
UUUAAUGCUUGUUCAAUUUGUUUUACUGUUGCAGUAAAAUUUACAGACAUGCAGAAACCUUAAAAGUUGUGAAGUUUGAGAUAGUUAAGGACACGGGACGUGAACCCCAGAACACUUUCUCCCGUGCUUUCCUGGGUGCAUGCCCCACCAGGACCUGGUCAUCGGUGUGCAGGCCUCGGAAGGUGAACACGGGAAGCCCAGCCCUGCGCCCUGCCAGGUCAAGCUGGAGAUUUUCCACUCCCCACCUGGUCGUUUGGGGCGAGGACCUGCCUUCUCAUGUGGACGGAGGUGAGCGGCCAGAUGGCAGCUCCCGCACACUUGCUGUGUUACUGCAGGGAGCCCACUGAGUGUGUGAGAUGCUCAGCACUGCCCAUCCUGGCCUGGGCUCCGCCCUCACCUGCCUCCCAGCUCAGGCACCUGUCUGCCCAAGUGAGCAGC